AUGCACUUCUAAGUGACCAACUUGUCUUUUUCGUGACUUCUUGGUCUCAUUCCAGUGCAAGAUAAAUUCCCUUCUAGCAGAAGGACUAGGCUUCUUUCCAAAAGUCUGGUCCUUUCGAAAGCUGGGAACAACC
ensembl:snoRNA